UAGCAAUCAGCGCGACUCCGUGGGCGUAGGACCCUCCGAGCCAGGUGCGGCAUAUAAUCUCGUGGUGCGUCGUUUUUCAAGCCUGUCGGAAAAGCGCAGUGUUCGGGUGGGAGUGACCCGAUUUUCCAGGUGCCCUCUGUCACCCCUUUCUUUGACUCGGAAAGGGAACUCCCUGACCCCUUGCGCUUCCCAAGUGAGGCAAUGCCUCGCCUUGCUUAGGCUCGCGCACGGUGCGCGCACCCACUGACCUGCGCCCACUGUCUGGCACUUCCUAGUGAGAUGAGCCCGGUACCUCAGAUGGAAAUGCAGAAAUCACCGUCUUCUGCGUCUCUCACGCUGGGAGCUGUAGACCGGAGCUGUUCCUAUUCGGCCAUCUUGGCUCCUCCCUCCUCUUCAACUAUUUUUAAUUGUCUUCCUUUAGGAAGGUAAAUAGACUCAAUCUGUUUCACCAUUCUCUACAUUGCAUAAUGUUCAGGCCUAUGGUGCUGAUAUCUCUCUGAAAGGAUGGCUUCCAGAAAGUGAGCAGAUGUGAUUUUACAGAGUGUGAUAACCUCUCCUGAG
rnacentral:lncRNA from 1 species